GAUGAACGCUGGCGGCGUGCCUAAUACAUGCCAGUCGAGCGAACGGACGAGAAGCUUGCUUCUCUGAUGUUAGCGGCGGACGGGUGAGUAACACGUGGAUAACCUACCUAUAAGACUGGGAUAACUUCGGGAAACCGUAGCUAAUACCGGAUAAUAUUUUGAACCGCAUGGUUCAAAAGUGAAAGACGGUCUUGCUGUCACUUAUAGAUGGAUCCGCGCUGCAUUAGCUAGUUGGUAAGGUAACGGCUUACCAAGGCAACGAUGCAUAGCCGACCUGAGAGGGUGAUCGGCCACACUGGAACUGAGACACGGUCCAGACUCCUACGGGAGGCAGCAGUAGGGAAUCUUCCGCAAUGGGCGAAAGCCUGACGGAGCAACGCCGCGUGAGUGAUGAAGGUCUUCGGAUCGUAAAACUCUGUUAUUAGGGAAGAACAUAUGUGUAAGUAACUGUGCGCAUCUUGACGGUACCUAAUCAGAAAGCCACGGCUAACUACGUG
rnacentral:rRNA from 1 species